rnacentral:rRNA from 1 species
CUAGUAGCUGGUUCCCUCCGAAGUUUCCCUCAGGAUAGCUGGCGCCCGCUUGGAACGAGGCGAGUCUCAUCCGGUAAAGCGAAUGAUUAGAGGCCUUGGGGCCGAMACGACCUCAACCUAUUCUCAAACUUUAAAUGGGUGAGAACUCCGGCUUGCUCGAUUGAAGCCGCSAGGCGGAUCAGGGUGCCAAGUGKGCCAUUUUUGGUAAGCAGAACUGGCGCUGUGGGAUGAACCAAACGCCGGGUUAAGGCGCCUAAACCGGAGCUCAUGGGAGACCAUGAMAGGCGUUGGUUGCUUAAGACAGCAGGACGGUGGCCAUGGAAGUCGGAAGCCGCUAAGGAGUGUGUAACAACUCACCUGCCGAAGCAACUAGCCCUGAAAAUGGAUGGCGCUAAAGCUCCGUGCCUAUACCCGGCCGCCGGAAGGCAUAGGCGUGAGCCGCUCUCGGGCGGCGAGCGCGUGAAGCCCCGGCGAGUAGGAGGGCGCGGCGGUGUGCGCGGAAGGGUCUGGGCGUGAGCCUGCCUGGAGCCGCCGCCGGUGCAGAUCUUGGUGGUAGUAGCAAAUACUCAAGCGAGGGCCUUGAGGGCUGAUGUGGAGAAGGGUUUCGUGUGAACAGCCGUUGCACACGAGUCAGUCGAUCCUAAGCCCUAGGAGAAAUCCGAUGUCGAUGCGGGGGGCCAUCCCAGCUCCCCCUCGAUGGGCGAAAGGGAAUCCGGUUCCUAUUCCGGAACCCGGCAGCGGAACCGAAUCUACGGGCCCUCGUCAGAGAAGCUCGUCGGGGUAACCCAAAGGGACCCGGAGACGCCGUCGGGAGACCCGGGCAGAGUUUUCUGUUCUGCAUAAGCGUUCGAGUUCCCUGGAAUCCUCUAGCAGGGAGAUAGGGUUUGGAACGCGAAGAGCACCGCAGUUGCGGCGGUGUCCGGGUCGUCCCCUCGGACCUUGAAAAUCCGGGAGAGGGUCACGCGGAGGUGUCGCGCCGGCUCGUACCCAUAUCCGCAGCAGGUCUCC